AUACUUUCUGUGCUACGGUUUCAAAGACAAGAAAGCUUAUCGCUUCUUCCUAUGGAUGGUACUACCGGUGCUGCCAUGCAUGCACCAAAGCUGCGCGUGGUGAUAUACCUCCAUAUGAAUGUGAUAAUCGCCAUUUGAUUGAAGCGGAAAUCUAUAAGUAUAAGAUUGAAGUUGAAGCUUUCCAUCUUGACACGUCUUGCAAAUUGAUUUUCUAGGACAGGGAAUGCAACCAAAUCUUAGGUAUUUCAGCUGCUCAAAUGUGCGACACAAUGAUACAGGAUGGUAUCACAGAUCCGUUGGAAUUUCCAUUAAAUCUUGAUGCAAUGUUAGACUUGGAUCUGGCUUUAAGAGUUAGAUGGCAGCCCAGUUGGGACAGCUGCUCUGUUAUUAUGUUUGUAGAUGACAAACCGUUUGUUAAACAGUUCGGCACUCCUUGGGAGCCUACAUAAGUAACACUUGACCAACAACUCCAACUUCCUUACUAUUUACAUCCUCCUCCUCUUAUGCUGAAUGUAUUUAUCUCUAAAAGGCUAACGUCACGAUUUCUGAACCCUCCGGAACAAAGCUGCCAGUCCAGAUAAAAGAGAGCGUUGAUGAAGCUAAUACUGUUGCUGCUGAUGAUUGUGACAUUAUUACGAAUCUAGAGAUAACAUCCAGACAUAACCCCGAUCCGCAAACAUCCACUGCAAAAAGGCAAAACCACGAUGGCUCAAGCGAAUCGACGACCGUGUGUGAUGGAGAACUUUCUUCGACAAAACUUAAAAAGAUCAUUAAGUUGGAGAAGAACAAAUAGUUGUAUUCCUGUACUGACACAUCUUUUUGUAUUGGCAUGUACUAUUUUGAUACCGUGUUAUAUGCUGCUAUUUGCGAAGCCUAUUUAGUAUUAAAUGAUAGGAUUAUACUCACUGUGUAAUUCGUAUUUUGGGAAGCUUAAAACUCUAUCUUAAUUGCUAAUCAUCUUAAGUCAUUUCUUUUACAUUA